CCUACGGGAGGCAGCAGUGAGGAAUAUUGGUCAAUGGACGCGAGUCUGAACCAGCCAUGCCGCGUGAAGGAAGACGGCUCUAUGGAUUGUAAACUUCUUUUGUACGGGGGUAAAGUCAGAUACGCGUAUCUUUCUGAAAGUAUCUUACGAAUAAGGAUCGGCUAACUCCGUGCCAGCAGCCGCGGUAAUACGGAGGAUUCAAGCGUUAUCCGGAUUUAUUGGGUUUAAAGGGUGCGUAGGCGGUCGUAUAAGUUAGCGGUGAAAUCCUGAGGCUCAACUACGGAAUUGCCGUUGAAACUGUUCGGCUUGAGAAUAGUUGCGGCAGGCGGAAUGUAUGGUGUAGCGGUGAAAUGCUUAGAGAUCAUACAGAACACCGAUUGCGAAGGCAGCCUACCAAGCUACGUCUGACGGUGAGGCACGAAAGCGUGGGGAGCAAACAGGAUUAGAUACCCGGGUAGUC
rnacentral:rRNA from 1 species